rnacentral:rRNA from 1 species
UACGAACCGUGCGAACGUUGUUCGGAAUCACUGGGCUUAAAGGGCGCGUAGGCGGGUCACCAAGUCCGGGGUGAAAUCUUUCGGCUUAACCGGAAAAUAGCCUUGGAUACUGGUAAUCUCGAGGGAGGUAGGGGUCUGUGGAACUUCUGGUGGAGCGGUGAAAUGCGUUGAUAUCAGAAGGAACGCCGGUGGCGAAAGCGACGGACUGGACCUCCACUGACGCUGAGGCGCGAAAGCCAGGGGAGCAAACGGG